rnacentral:lncRNA from 1 species
AUCUGAUUCAAGCAAUGUGCUUUACUAGCAGUAGCCAACUUAGGGAUACAAAGUCAAGGUGAGGGUCCAUCUCCAUUACUCAUUAACCAUGUGUUGUGCUGAGGACUCAGUGUUCUUACUUGCAUAAUGCAAUUACUAUUACUACCUCACAUGUAAAAGGGGGGAUUUCUAUAGUCUGCUAUCUUGCAAGUGAAAGGAGCCAUGGAUAGCUGGUCUCUGUUCACAGGAGUAACAAAGUGGACACCUCCAGAUGCGAGACAGAUCAAACAGAAAUGUGGCUAUUUGGAAAGAGCAAUCUUCUCCCACUGAUGAAGACAACAUUCAUACCUCUUCUACGCUUGGGCGCCUCCAGCAAACUAUCCCUUGGCUAUACAAUUUUUACUUUAAUCCUCCCAGAAAUUGCAAGAGGCCAAAAGAAACCUUUCACAUAUGGCCAGACAGAGAAGAGAAGCCAUAAUUCAGAUGUCACUGCAAUAUGUUAUGAGAAAUUUGUCUCUUGUCAGCAUCGCUGCCCGAGAAGUAUUUUGGCACCUGCCUCGAUUCAAGUCCUCUCCUGUAAGUGGGAAAGCCUCACAUACUUGGGACAGUGAACUGGAAUAGCUCUCUAGCGCACCACCCUCUGGAAGUGAACAGAUCAUCCUGAUGCGCAUUGCCAUCCAGUUGAUUGUUGCUUCCAACCCACAUAACGCAUCUCCUCUACCAAGAAGGUGACACUUCCAUUUCCUCUCCCUUGGUAUUAUUCUAUGCAAGUAUGAAAGGGACAAAAAAAGCAAGAAUCUUCCAAGAUCAAUAACUGGACCAGGGUGAAAUGCAAAGUAAGAUCCGGUGUGAAGAAGUGACUGACCACAGUCUGCAAAUGAAAGCUUGGCAGACUGGGAAAGGAUGGUGCACACUUUGCCAGUCUUGAAGAAUUCUUGCCCAAGGUAACAUUUAAUUUUGGCCAAAAUGCCCAUGUCUGUUAGGACAGUUUGAAUUAUUGUUAUUAUUUGGGAAGUCAGGACUAUUAACAACCAGCAAGUCUAGAAGAAAAGCCAAAAUCUGUAUGGAAGACAUUUAAUGCCUCUGGGCCUACUUGUCUGAAUUGAAGAACUAGAGAAAGACUUAUUUAUAAAGUUACCCAGAGAGCCUGGGGAAAGGGUGAGUGUCUCCCACUGGCUGAGCAUUCAUCACCAGCUCGCAUCAUUUACAACCUGGGUGGCUGGAGCCAGAUGCUCCUGCAGCCUAGACAGUAGAUGAAAUGUGGCUGGCAUACCCACAGCAGGCUCAGUGGAAGAAGCGACUGCUUCUGAAGAGGCCUGUGAAUAAUCUGCUAAACAUUGUGCGUUGUUUUUCUCCCAGGGUACACCAAAAAACAGCACAAAUCCACAAUGCUAAUUUAUCACCAGGUUACUAAUACAACAAGAAAGCAAAGAGAUGACAGGUAUCCAAGUUCUUGCAUUUUUUAAUGCUUUCUUUCAGGUGUAGAUGAAUGUAGGAUGCCCACUGUUUCAGAUUUAUUCAAACAUAAGAUUCACUGUGACAAUCUUUAUUUACUUUUGUUACACUAAACCCCACAGUUGGGUUUAUGUGUGAGUUUUUCUAAGGUGUCAGUCUCUAAAUUAAACUACAAAGAAUUUUUAACUGAAGACAAGCUUUUUCAGGGUCUUAACAGUAUCCUAUUCGAGACCAUAAAAAGUUUUUACAACAGCACAUAUAAGGUGCCUACAUCCUCCCCACAAAGGACAAGAUGAUGAGAUGUUCCCUAGAAAAUCAUUUCACAAGCACUGAAGUCCCUUCUGGGGAGGAGACUUUAGAUAUAGUUUCACUAUUUGGAUAAGUAAUACUAAACAUUUUUUUCC